ACACAAUGAAGAUGUUUUGGAGUAUAAAAGAAGGAAUGGAUUGGAAUAAACUUUGGAAAUAAUCCAGUCUGCUUCAUGUGAUGAUCAUAGUCAUUCCUCUGAAUUCACCCAGAGUUGCAGAUAUGAGAAAAAAGUUACGUGUGAAUAUAUAUCAGUCAAGUCAACACAUACAUUUUAAACUGUUAAAGAAAUAAAAAUACUUGCGCCCUUCAUAUGUAGA